rfam:TPA: Bos taurus chromosome 18, whole genome shotgun sequence.
UCCCUGCUGGCUCAGAGGGUAAAGCAUCUGCCUACAAUGCAGGAGACCCAGGUUCAAUCCCUGGGUCAGGAA